GUAGUCAUAUGCUUGUCUCAAAGAUUAAGCCAUGCAAGUCUAAGUUUAAGCAAUUAAACGGCGUAAACUGCGAAUGGCUCAUUAAAUCAGUUAUCGUCUAUUUGAUAGUACCUAGUACAUGGAUACCUGUGGCAAUUCUAGAGCUAAUACAUGCUGAAACUCCCGACUUCGGAAGGGAGGUAUUUGUUAGAUGAAAAACCAAUGCCCUUCGGGGCUCCCUGGUGAAUCAUAAUAACUUCGCGAAUCGCACGGCCUUGCGCCGGCGAUGGCUCAUUCAAAUUUCUGCCCUAUCAACUUUCGACGGCUGGGUCUUGGCCAGCCGUGGUUGCAACGGGUAACGGAGGGUUAGGGCUUGAUCCCGGAGAAGGAGCCUGAGAAACGGCUACUACAUCCAAGGAAGGCAGCAGGCGCGCAAAUUACCCAAUCCCGAUACGGGGAGGUAGUGACAAUAAAUACUGAUACAGGGCUCUUUUGGGUCUUGUAAUUGGAAUGAG
rnacentral:rRNA from 1 species